rnacentral:rRNA from 1 species
GCGGACGGGUGAGUAAUGUCUGGGAAACUGCCUGAUGGAGGGGGAUAACUACUGGAAACGGUGGCUAAUACCGCAUAACGUCGCAAGACCAAAGUGGGGGACCUUCGGGCCUCACGCCAUCGGAUGUGCCCAGAUGGGAUUAGCUAGUAGGUGGGGUAAUGGCUCACCUAGGCGACGAUCCCUAGCUGGUCUGAGAGGAUGACCAGCCACACUGGAACUGAGACACGGUCCAGACUCCUACGGGAGGCAGCAGUGGGGAAUAUUGCACAAUGGGCGCAAGCCUGAUGCAGCCAUGCCGCGUGUGUGAAGAAGGCCUUCGGGUUGUAAAGCACUUUCAGCGAGGAGGAAGGCAUCAUACUUAAUACGUGUGGUGAUUGACGUUACUCGCAGAAGAAGCACCGGCUAACUCCGUGCCAGCAGCCGCGGUAAUACGGAGGGUGCAAGCGUUAAUCGGAAUUACUGGGCGUAAAGCGCACGCAGGCGGUUUGUUAAGUCAGAUGUGAAAUCCCCGCGCUUAACGUGGGAACUGCAUUUGAAACUGGCAAGCUAG